GCAGAGAAUACUCUGUGGUUGUUUCUUUUUCCUAGUUAGGCCCAUUUUAUUUGUGCUGUUUUGUUUUGUUUUGUUUUUACUCUUGCACUACAGUCUAGAGAUCCAAAUGAACUGCAAAGUUGACAGUUUAACAGACAUUUAAAAACAUAUAUUUUUAGUUGUCAUUCUAAUCUUAUUGAUUAGAAGCAUGACUCCUGAAGGAAAGGGAAAUAAAGCCCAAUUCAUACUAAUUUCUAGCAAAACACUCACCAUAUAAAUAGACAUAUGUUUUAUUUUUAACCCAGCAAAAUACUGUAUAAGUAUGUCCUUUACUGUCAAUUUAUCUAGAAGAUCUAUAAUAUAUAGACUAUAUAUAUAAUAUAUAUAUAUAUACAACAUAGCCAAAUGUAUAAAAACUUGACAAUGUAUAAUUUGGAAUUCACAUGCUAACUACAUAGAGAAGUAUAAAAUUGAAUGAUAAUUUUUCUAAGAUUUUUCUUUUUCAUCUCUGUUGACACAGUUUCAAACAUUCUAUCAUGUUGCUCCUACUUUUUUCUUUUCUUUCCUUUUUUAAAAAUUCAUUUUUAACCAGACUAGACCCCACUGUAAUAUCACCUGAGAGAGUCAGGGUGAAGUUUUUGCAUUUAUAAAGAUACGUUCCUGUAAGGGCGAUUAUAAUGAAAGCAAGAGUGCAGGAAUCAACUAUUGAAAGACACUUUAGGGGAGACUGGAGUGUAUUCUAGCUUGUGGAGAGACAGAAGGCUACAGAUUGGAUGCAACAUUCUUGUUUUCUUGGAGAAACUCACAUACACAUAGCUGACUUGACUAGUACUUCAGAUCUCAGACUGCUCUUCCACAGCCUUCUGUAAGGUUCUUUAUUCUGCAAAAGAAAAAAAAACAACAAAAACAAAAAAAAAACACAAAAAAAUUUAAAAACAUUAAAAAACAAAAAAAAACAAAAAAAUUUAAAAAGCAAAACAAAAAAAAAACAGAAAACAACAAACAACAAAAAGAAUUCAACCACAAAAUAGUGACUGUUAUUUCAGUGUGUCCUUCAUGUGAAAGCUCUUAAGGACCAAACCUACUACUGUGUGUAAGAAGAAAUUACUUCCUAAACAGUAACUGAAAAUAGUUAGUUAAACUUGCUGUGGAUUUUGUCUUGGCAGUUGUCAUCUUACAUUAUUUGUCAAAGGAAAUGUGUUUGGCAGUUAAAAAUCUUUCCUUAGAUUUAGUGGUGGACUUUAACCUCUUAAAUAAAUGUUAGUAUAUCAGAUUGUGUCCUUGAAAAAUAUUUUACUUGUAUGAAUCAUGACAAUGUCUAGAUCUUUACUAUUCUUCUGGCAAAAGCAUCAGUAAGAAAGAAGGUGAAAAAGAGAAGUAUAGCCUUUACGUCAGAAAAAUAUUCUUUUUAGCUGCUUACUUUCUCAUGAAAAGUAAAGAUGUUUACAGUGUAUGCCAAGAUUUUCAGUUUCUAUAUAACAACAGUUAGAGGUUCUAAUCAUACUGAAAAUUGUGUUAUAAUGGCCUGAGCCAUGUUGCUAGGAAACAAUAGGUUCCAAUUUUGUAUUCCUGCUCUCACUCCUGUGCUGAAAAGUGACUGGAUACUGUACAGGUUCAUGUUCUCUGGCUGCAGUUAAAUGGUCUUUUGCAUUUUGCUCUGGCUUUCAGGCCAGAAGCAUGCAUUUUUCUACAAGAGCAUCACAACAACAUGCUGUAAAUAUUUAAAGUUAAACAUUAUGUGUCGAUAUUUGAAAGAAAAAAGUACUUUGAAUAUUUCAUUUUUAAAAAAUAAAAUUGCAA
rnacentral:lncRNA from 1 species